rnacentral:rRNA from 1 species
AUUGAACGCUGGCGGCAGGCCUAACACAUGCAAGUCGAACGAGUGGCGGACGGGUGAGUAAUGUCUGGGAAACACCCCAAUGGGGGGGAAUAACUACGGAAAACGGAGGCAAAUACCGAUAACCACGGGAUGUGCCCAGAUGGGAUUAGCUAGUAGGUGGGGUAACGGCUCACCGAGGCGACGAUCCCUAGCUGGUCUGAGAGGAUGACCAGCCACACUGGAACUGAGACACGGUCCAGACUCCUACGGGAGGCAGCAGUGGGGAAUAUUGCACAAUGGGCGCAAGCCUGAUGCAGCCAUGCCGCGUGUAUGAAGAAGGCCUUCGGGUUGUAAAGUACUUUCAGCGAGGAGGCGUUACUCGCAGAAGAAGCACCGGCUAACUCCGUGCCAGCAGCCGCGGUAAUUC